rnacentral:rRNA from 1 species
GCGCGUAGGCGGCUCGUUAAGUGCACAAGUGAAAUCUCUGGGCUCACCCCAGAAACUGCUUUGCAUACUGGCGAGCUAGAGGGUCGAAGAGGUAUGUGGAAUUCCCGGUGUAGCGGUGAAAUGCGUUGAUAUCGGGAGGAACACCCAUGGCGAAGGCAGCAUACUGGUCGGCAUCUGACGCUGAGGCGCGAAAGCGUGGGUAGCAAACAGGAUUAGAUACCCUGGUAGUCCACGCCCUAAACGAUGGAUACUAGGCGUAGGAGGUAUCGACCCCUCCUGUGCCGCAGCUAACGCACUAAGUAUCCCGCCUGGGGAGUACGGCCGCAAGGUUGAAACUCAAAUGAAUUGACGGGGACCCGCACAAGCGGUGGAGCAUGUGGAUUAAUUCGAUACUAACCGAAGAACCUUACCCAGACUUGACAUCGAUCGCAAAGUCCAGAAAUGGGCUCCUCCCCCACAAGGGGACGUGAAGACACUUGUUGCAUGGCUGUCGUCAGCUCGUGCCGUGAGGUGUACGGUUAAGUCCGCCAACGAGCGCAACCCACGUCCUGUGUU